CAAGUACCGUUCGAAUAGGGCGGUACCUUGACGGUACCUAACCAGAAAGCCACGGCUAACUACGUGCCAGCAGCCGCGGUAAUACGUAGGUGGCAAGCGUUGUCCGGAAUUAUUGGGCGUAAAGGGCUCGCAGGCGGUUUCUUAAGUCUGAUGUGAAAGCCCCCGGCUCAACCGGGGAGGGUCAUUGGAAACUGGGGAACUUGAGUGCAAAAGAGGAGAGUGGAAUUCCACGUGUAGCGGUGAAAUGCGUAGAGAUGUGGAGGAACACCAGUGGCGAAGGCGACUCUCUGGUCUGUAACUGACGCUGAGGAGCGAAAGCGUGGGGAGCGAACAGGAUUAGAUACCCUGGUAGUCCACGCCGUAAACGAUGAGUGCUAAGUGUUAGGGGGUUUCCGCCCCUUAGUGCUGCAGCUAACGCAUUAAGCACUCCGCCUGGGGAGUACGGUCGCAAGACUGAAACUCAAAGGAAUUGACGGGGGCCCGCACAAGCGGUGGAGCAUGUGGUUUAAUUCGAAGCAACGCGAAGAACCUUACCAGGUCUUGACAUCCUCUGACAAUCCUAGAGAUAGGACGUCCCCUUCGGGGGCAGAGUGACAGGUGGUGCAUGGUUGUCGUCAGCUCGUGUCGUGAGAUGUUGGGUUAAGUCCCGCAACGAGCGCAACCCUUGAUCUUAGUUGCCAGCAUUCAGUUGGGCACUCUAAGGUGACUGCCGGUGACAAACCGGAGGAAGGUGGGGAUGACGUCAAAUCAUCAUGCCCCUUAUGACCUGGGCUACACACGUGCUACAAUGGACAGAACAAAGGGCAGCGAAACCGCGAGGUUAAGCCAAUCCCACAAAUCUGUUCUCAGUU
rnacentral:rRNA from 1 species